rnacentral:rRNA from 1 species
UACGUAGGGGGCAAGCGUUGUCCGGAAUCAUUGGGCGUAAAGCGCGUGUAGGCGGCCCGAUAAGUCCGCUGUGAAAGUCCAGGGCUCAACCCUGGGAUGCCGGUGGAUACUGUCGGGCUCGAGUCCGGAAGAGGAGUGUGGAAUUCCUGGUGUAGCGGUGAAAUGCGCAGAUAUCAGGAGGAACACCAAUGGCGAAGGCAGCACUCUGGGACGUGACUGACGCUGAGACGCGAAAGCUAGGGGAGCAAACGGG